rnacentral:lncRNA from 1 species
AGGGGGCGACUGCAAGGGGGGUGCAUGGGUCAAGGGGUGCGGUGCAAAGCGGGGUGCAGUGCAAAGGGUGGGGCAGGGAAACGAGGGGGUGCUAGAGCAAGGUGGAGUGCAGUGCAGGGCGGGGUUCGGCUGAAAAGGGUGCACGGAGGAGAAGCGUGCGGCGGGCAGGGGUGCAAGCCUCAGAGCUUCCAGCGUGAUGGUGCUUGGGGAAAGCUGCAGGAAACGCCGACGUUCGUCCUCUGGCAGACCUGGGCGGGAAGAGGGAGCACGCCGUGUUGCUGGUGGAAAUGAUCAACGACAAACGUGACCCAUCAAUUAACGUGGAUCACGAGUCUGAGCAGGAACCAGCUAGGCCAAGUCCAACUCUCAGGCAGUUUUAUUCCUUGCUCCCUGUCUGUUUCUUGAGACUGAAAAUCCAGCCACCCUAUUUCAUGAGGAUACUCUCCGAGGUGGUUAUAUGGCACGACAUUGGGCGCUGGGAAGAGAAUGCCUUGUUUACGUUCCCCAACGUGCCUCCAGUUCCCUUUGUGACCACAGCGAGUUCCUUAAACUCUGCAGAUCUGCAAUCCAGAAUGAGUAAGUACCCACAGCUCUCCUUGACUUCAGCCACUGUUAUGUCUAUCACCAGCUCUGAAAAAAAUCAAGCCUUCUAUGCCCCAAUUUCCUCUCUGUCAGCAAGCAAAACUUACAUGUCAAGGGCAUCUGAAGCCUGACGGAUUUUUGCGUGGAGCUUCAGAUCCCCAUGAGGACGGCAGCUGAGAAAAGAAGAUAAAACCCUGUUGUAAGGGUGGUAGUGAUGGAUACCGAUUAUUAUUUGUUUAAUUAAAAGAGCCUGGACAGACGCAGAGGCAACAAUUAAUUAUCUCAUGUAAAAACUUUGACCACGGCUAAAUAAAUUAAUGGGUUAUGAGAUGAAGACA